CCUACGGGGGGCAGCAGUGGGGAAUAUUGCACAAUGGAGGAAACUCUGAUGCAGCGACGCCGCGUGAGUGAAGAAGGUCUUCGGAUCGUAAAACUCUGUCCUUGGUGAAGAAAAGGACGGUAGCCAAGGAGGAAGCCCCGGCUAACUACGUGCCAGCAGCCGCGGUAAUACGUAGGGGGCGAGCGUUGUCCGGAUUUACUGGGCGUAAAGGGUGAGUAGGCGGUUGUAUAUGUCAGGUGUAAAAGGCUAUGGCUUAACCAUGGUUAGCACUUGAAACUGUGCAACUUGAGUGCAGGAGAGG
rnacentral:rRNA from 1 species